UACGUAGGGGGCGAGCGUUGUCCGGAUUUAUUGGGCGUAAAGAGCGUGUAGGCGGCCAGGUAGGUCUGCUGUGAAAACUCGAGGCUCAACCUCGAGACGUCGGCGGAAACCAUCUGGCUAGAGUCCGGAAGAGGAGAGUGGAAUUCCUGGUGUAGCGGUGAAAUGCGCAGAUAUCAGGAAGAACACCAGUGGCGAAGGCGGCUCACUGGCCCGAUACUGACGCUGAGGCACGAAAGCGUGGGGAGCAAACAGG
rnacentral:rRNA from 1 species